rnacentral:rRNA from 1 species
GUGUCAGCCGCCGCGGUAAUACAGAGGGUGCGAGCGUUGUCCGGAAUCACUGGGCGUAAAGGGCGCGUAGGCGGCCUGGUAAGUAGGGGGUGAAAUCUUGCGGCUCAACUGCAAGGCUGCCUCCUAAACUGUCAGGCUUGAGCACAGUAGAGGCAGGUGGAAUUCCCGGUGUAGCGGUGGAAUGCGUAGAGAUCGGGAAGAACAUCGGUGGCGAAGGCGGCCUGCUGGGCUGUUGCUGACGCUGAGGCGCGACAGCGUGGGGAGCAAACAGGAUUAGAAACCCUUGUAGUCC